rfam:Aspergillus versicolor CBS 583.65 unplaced genomic scaffold ASPVEscaffold_5, whole genome shotgun sequence.
AUGUCUCCUGCCUCGCUCGGUCUUCUGCAACCCCUCGGUUGAUCUUGAGCUGGAUGCAGCGUCCAAACACUUUCCAAGUACUGGGCCCUGUACGAGACAAGAAGAAGGCUUCUCGCCGUCAACGAUUUUUGAGUACGAUUUUACCCGCCUGCUACGGGUAUGAUCGUAAUUUAUAGUUGGGACACUC